AGGAAAUUAAUAGUGUAAUGUAUAACUUAGCUCUGAUGAUCUCAUAAGCAUGCCUGUUAAUCAUUGUCACUUGCUGUACUCCAUUGUUAUUUACUGUACUCCCCAAAUAAAAGCCAUGAGAGUUUUGGGGGCUUGGCUACUUGCCUGAGCGAGCGGUAGCCCUCUGCUUAUCUAAACUUAAUCCUGCACGCCAAGCUCAUCUCAGCGUCACCGUUCACAAAGAACAUCAAUAUCUGGCGCCUGAACAGAACAGGGACCCGAAGGAACUAAGAAGUUCUGGAUUCCUGAUAAAAGAAUCAAGUUAAGGCAUGGCGAGCAAGAGGAAGUGUGACGAAGCAGGACUAGAAGACCGGUUUGCGCAGCUAACCAUCCAGAGAGGACAAACACAUGGGGACAGGUGAAGCGCCUAUGCCAGGAAGGGGAACAUCUUGUGACUGACCAUGGAAGGCCCUGUAACUAAUGACUCUAAUUGGAUGCCUGGACUUUUUAAAGAUCGUGGGCCUAUGAAACCAGAUGAAGAAGGGACAAGAAUGUACAACUAUUCGACAGGAGUUACUGGAAUGCCUGUGUGCCUGGGACUGGGUAAUCAUUGUUUGCAAUUGGGUUAUAAAGCCUAGUUGAGUGUGGCUAAAAACACCACUAAUCCUUGAAAGGACCAGUCCAAUGGACUCAAAGUACUGGGGAAAUAUCUUAUUUUAAUUGUACCUUGUUAACUUGUGUAAAUAACUCUGUACCUUUUAAUCACAGUAGAGAGAGCUUGUAUCUAUUGUGAGCCAGAACAGGAGUAUAGUUACCCGUACAGAUGGAUCGACUAUGGCAGGAGAGUUCUCUAGCUGGAGCUCUCCAAGCCAUUGUGGAAGGAAUAUUGAAGAGGUCAAAAAGGUUUAUUGGCAUGCUAAUCGCUGUAAUUCUUGGGUUAAUUACAAUAACAGCAACUGCUGCAGCAGCUGGGGUAGCAUUACAGCGAUCAGUCCAAACUGCUACUUUUUUAAAAAAAUAUAUUUUAUUGAUUUUUUACAGAGAGGAAGGGAGAGAGAUAGUUAGAAACAUCAAUGAGAGAGAAACAUCGAUCAGCUGCCUCCUGCACAUCUCCUACUGGGGAUGUGCCCGCAACCCAGGUACAUGCCCUUGACCAGAAUCGAACCUGGGACCUUUCAGUCUGCAGGCCGAUGCUCUAUCCACUGAGCCAAACCGGUUUCAGCAAAACUGCUACUUUUGUUCAAGACUGGCAUAAAGAUUCAGAACGGUUAUGGAGUUCUCAACAGAAAAUUGAUAGUCAAAUCAAUGAACAAUUAGCCGAUCUUGAACAAUCAGUAGCUUUAUUAAGGGACCAAAUUGUUAGCCUGCAAAGGCGAUUACAGUUAAAGUGUGAUUGGAACCAUACUGGUUUAUGUGUCACCCCUGUACCUUAUAAUGAAACAGCUUUGCUAUCUUCUCUGUCAUGAUUCAAACCUGCAGCAAAACUAAAAAGGGGGAAAUUGUAGCUGGACAAGUGGAAUGAAGUUAACUAGAAGAGGACGCUCUGCCAAGAAAAGGCGGGGGCCUGCAAGCGGGCCACGUCAGAACAAACUCUUGCAAGCAAGACUUAUUGUUCAGAGGCAGAAUUUCCUUGAGGUGAUAAAUAGUCCAUGAGGGCAUGGAAAGCCAGGGAGGGUGCACUGCUGCAGGUGGAAAGGGUCUUUGUAUAACAUAGGAAAUUAAUAGUGUAAUGUAUAACUUAGCUCUGAUGAUCUCAUAAGCAUGCCUGUUAAUCAUUGUCACUUGCUGUACUCCACUGUUAUUUGCUGUACUCCCCAAAUAAAAGCUCUGAGGGCUUUGGGGGCUUUGCUACACGCCUGAGCGAGCGGUAGCCCUCUGCUUCUCUAAACUUAAUCCUGCACGCCAAGCUCAUCUCAGCAUCACCGUUCACAAAGAACAUCAAUAAAUGUAGCUGACGUGACAAGAAAA